UGUGGCCCUGUAGCCUAAAAGGAAGGGCUUCUUCCGAUCUGAUUCAGAAUUGAGAAGGUUGGUGCAAAGGCUUGGAGCUCAGAUCCGAUCACGCCCGUAGAAGAAUCUUCCCAAAAGGGCUCACGUCGGUCUUUGGAGAGGCUUCAGGAGGAAUGCAGGAGGUGGACACUUUUAAGUCAUUUUGGAGAAACAUUCAACGGGAAUGCCUGUAUAACCGGUCCCAGUAAUUGUUCAAACUCUAGUCUCUAGUGACUGGGUAAAUAUUUGGUGUAAUUUAUUAUUUGGAUAAAUAUUUAUAUUUGAAAUUGAUGAUUUCAACAUUGUUACUAAAUAUUAUUUUAAUUAAUGUUAAUAUUGUAAUUGCAUA